rnacentral:rRNA from 1 species
UGAAGAGUUUGAUCAUGGCUCAGAUUGAACGCUGGCGGCAGGCCUAACACAUGCAAGUCGAACGGUAACAGGAAGCAGCUUGCUGCUUUGCUGACGAGUGGCGGACGGGUGAGUAAUGUCUGGGAAACUGCCUGAUGGAGGGGGAUAACUACUGGAAACGGUGGCUAAUACCGCAUAACGUCGCAAGACCAAAGAGGGGGACCUUCGGGCCUCUUGCCAUCAGAUGUGCCCAGAUGGGAUUAGCUUGUUGGUGAGGUAACGGCUCACCAAGGCGACGAUCCCUAGCUGGUCUGAGAGGAUGACCAGCCACACUGGAACUGAGACACGGUCCAGACUCCUACGGGAGGCAGCAGUGGGGAAUAUUGCACAAUGGGCGCAAGCCUGAUGCAGCCAUGCCGCGUGUAUGAAGAAGGCCUUCGGGUUGUAAAGUACUUUCAGCGGGGAGGAAGGUGUUGUGGUUAAUAACCGCAGCAAUUGACGUUACCCGCAGAAGAAGCACCGGCUAACUCCGUGCCAGCAGCCGCGGUAAUACGGAGGGUGCAAGCGUUAAUCGGAAUUACUGGGCGUAAAGCGCACGCAGGCGGUCUGUCAAGUCGGAUGUGAAAUCCCCGGGCUCAACCUGGGAACUGCAUUCGAAACUGGCAGGCUUGAGUCUUGUAGAGGGGGGUAGAAUUCCAGGUGUAGCGGUGAAAUGCGUAGAGAUCUGGAGGAAUACCGGUGGCGAAGGCGGCCCCCUGGACAAAGACUGACGCUCAGGUGCGAAAGCGUGGGGAGCAAACAGGAUUAGAUACCCUGGUAGUCCACGCCGUAAACGAUGUCUACUUGGAGGUUGUGCCCUUGAGGCGUGGCUUCCGGAGCUAACGCGUUAAGUAGACCGCCUGGGGAGUACGGCCGCAAGGUUAAAACUCAAAUGAAUUGACGGGGGCCCGCACAAGCGGUGGAGCAUGUGGUUUAAUUCGAUGCAACGCGAAGAACCUUACCUGGUCUUGACAUCCACAGAACAUUCCAGAGAUGGAUUGGUGCCUUCGGGAACUGUGAGACAGGUGCUGCAUGGCUGUCGUCAGCUCGUGUUGUGAAAUGUUGGGUUAAGUCCCGCAACGAGCGCAACCCUUAUCCUUUGUUGCCAGCGGUCCGGCCGGGAACUCAAAGGAGACUGCCAGUGAUAAACUGGAGGAAGGUGGGGAUGACGUCAAGUCAUCAUGGCCCUUACGACCAGGGCUACACACGUGCUACAAUGGCGCAUACAAAGAGAAGCGACCUCGCGAGAGCAAGCGGACCUCAUAAAGUGCGUCGUAGUCCGGAUUGGAGUCUGCAACUCGACUCCAUGAAGUCGGAAUCGCUAGUAAUCGUGGAUCAGAAUGCCACGGUGAAUACGUUCCCGGGCCUUGUACACACCGCCCGUCACACCAUGGGAGUGGGUUGCAAAAGAAGUAGGUAGCUUAACCUUCGGGAGGGCGCUUACCACUUUGUGAUUCAUGACUGGGGUGAAGUCGUAACAAGGUAACCGUAGGGGAACCUGCGGUUGGAUCACCUCCUUACCUUAAAGAAGC